GUGAUUCUCCUUCCUCAGCCUCCUGAGUAGCCAGGACUACAGGUAUGUCUUUAUUUGCAGUGUGAGAACAGACUAAUAUACCAGUCCCUGGAUUGAUACAUGAAAAAGGAAGAGAUAAGAGAUCAAUGUCCUGCAUCAAUGGUGUCCAGUAUCUGAAAACUGAUAUUUCUUAGACUUUCAAGGAGAUUGGAACCACCAGGACCAUCUGGAUAUCCCACAGAAGACCACACUGAUCCAUUAUUACACUGAUGACAUCAUGCUGAUUGGGCAAGACAAGCAAGCGGUAACUAGGUCUUGGUAAUCCAGAGGAUGGAAGAUACAUUUAUGGAGACUUAUGGCCUUGACACAUGGGUGAAGUUUUUAGGGAACAUACUCAGGAGUGUGUCAGGAUAUCUCUUCCAAAUAAAAGAUAAAUUGCUGCACAAUGCCUAAUGGUCCUCUUUUGGUUCUAGAGGCAGUAUAUUCUAUACCCAGAAGCUGUGCCCUGGCCCAUAUACACAAAGGCUAUCAGCUAUGACACAGCACCCUUGAUCCUUGCACCAUAUGGUUCAGUCAACACGAUGCUA